rnacentral:tRNA from 1 species
AGCAGUGUGGUGUAGUGGUUUGAACAUUGGACUAUGACUCUGGAGGCCAGGGUUCGAAUCCUGACUUGGCCA